rnacentral:rRNA from 1 species
AUUGAACGCUGGCGGCAUGCCUUACACAUGCAAGUCGAACGGCAGCACGGGCUUCUUCCUGGCCGCGCGUUGCGAACGGGCGAGUAAUUCACCCGAACGUGCCCUGCCUUUGGGGCUGGCACGACGACAGCCAGCUUAAUACCGCAUCCGACCAGAUGUUGAACGCCGGGGACCGAAAGGCCUCGCCCUAUUUGCUCUGCCGAUGUCGGAUUAGCUAGCUGGUUGGGUAAAGGCUUACCAAGGCGACGAUCCGUAGCUGGUCUGAGAGGCCGACCAGCCACACUGGAACUGAGACACGGCCCAGACUCCUACGGGAGGCAGCAGUAGGGAAUCUUGGACAAUGGGGGAAAGCCUGAUCCAGCAAUGCCGCGUGAGGGAAGAAGGUCUUCGGGUUGUAAACCGCUUUUGUUAGGGAAGAAAACCUGUGGGAUUAUACCUGGAGGGGAUGACGGUACCGAAAGAGAAAGCACCGGCUAACUACGUG